rnacentral:rRNA from 1 species
UACGUAGAGGGCUAGCGUUGUCCGGAUUUAUUGGGCGUAAAGAGCGUGUAGGCGGCCAGGUAGGUCUGCUGUGAAAACUCGAGGCUCAACCUCGAGACGUCGGCGGAAACCAUCUGGCUAGAGUCCGGAAGAGGAGAGUGGAAUUCCUGGUGUAGCGGUGAAAUGCGCAGAUAUCAGGAAGAACACCCGUGGCGAAGGCGGCUCUCUGGGACGGUACUGACGCUGAGACGCGAAAGCGUGGGGAGCGAACAGG